rnacentral:ncRNA from 1 species
AGACGGUGCCGCGUAAAACGCGCGGGUAAAAGGGAAACAGGUGCAAAACCUGUGCGAGCCCGUCACUGUGAAACCGGAGUCCGCGGCCGGGUCGCAAGACAGCCACUGGUCAGCCAGACCGGGAAGGCGGCCGCGGGCGGAGAUGGAAAGCCAGGAAACCUGCCGUCUGUAU